rnacentral:tRNA from 3 species
GCCGACAUAGCUCAGCGGUAGAGCGGCGCACUCGUAAUGCGCAGGUCGUGGGUUCGAAUCCCACUGUCGGCUCCA